CCAGGAAGGAUGGGCGGCCCCCGCGGUGGCCCCUUGUACCCAGGCCCGGUGGCAGAGCCGCAGGCAAGGUCUCCAGACGCUCUGCAGAUUCCUGAGUAAUGCGCUGAGAAGAGGAGGAAGCCCUUCCCCUGGGCCAUCUCAUCCAGUCACCGUCAGAGUCUGGUCCCACCCUCUGGGAAAGGUUGACAAGGUCAUAGCUCCCACUACUACGGGGCUCUGCCUGCUCUGUGGAGGUAUGCGGGGGAGACACCGCAGAGGGCCACCCCCAACUCCCAGAGGCCCUAGCACAGUCCUCUCUGACCAGAUGCAACAGCUGCCUCUCUUCCUUGUGUGUCACUUUGGUCCCCAGAGAAGACCAAGGCCAUAACCAGUUGCCACACUCCACUCUCCCAACCUGGUUCCCACCCCCUAAGUGCUAGCGGUCCUUGCUCAGAAAGCACAGCCAGAGUCUCAGUGUGAGCACACAAAGAAGUUGCCAGAGCUAAAGGAAGGAGCUCUGGGCUGGGCAGACCAGCUGUAUCCAGGAUCACACCCUUCCUGUGAGGAUGCCAGGCAUGUGCUGGGCACAGAGCAACAACACAAGGAAGACAGCGGCUCUUCCAGCAGGCAGACCCAAGCUCACACUGUGAACAGAGGCAGCUGGGAGGUUAGAGCCAGGCCAGAUGGUGCCUUCAUCCUGGGAGAGAAGAACAGAAGGAAGGAAGGAAAUGGAUUGCACAGAGGUGGGUAGUGAUGGAGACCUUAGAGGGAGAUCAGGGACAAGCUUUUAGUUUCAGGCACAAGGGAAGGGGCAAAUGUAAAAAUAGAGGGGUUUGUUGGUUUUGCUUGCUUUAACCAGAGCACUGGAAACUCUGGCUUAUGGUGGUGCUGAGGAUUAAACCUUGGAUCUUUGGUGUCUUAGGCAUGAAAGAAAUGCCUUAUCCCCAACCCAUAAAAAUCGAAUUUUAAAAAUGUGAGGGACCUGGGAGUGGUGCACCCAGGUGAACUCAUGUUACAAAACACAGAACGCAGGUCCAAGCCCCCCGUCCCCACCUGCAAGAGGGGAAAGCAUCACAAGCCUUGAAACAGUGCUGCAGGUAUCUCUUCACACACUCCCCUCACUCUCAAAGCACAACAGCUAUGCAAACAGACUCUCAUGCCUGAGGCUACAAGGUCCCAGGUUCAGUCCAUCACACCACCAUAAGCCAGAGCUGAGCAGUGCUCUGGAAAGAGAAAGAGAGUGAAAGAAAGAGAUAUUACAUGUAGCUCCACACAGUACCCACCACCAAAGUUCUGUGCUCCCACCUGCCAAAAAGUCUUGCAUUUGCAUUUUCUUUAUUUUUUAGAUAAACAUUUUAAGCUUUAUUUUAUUUAGUGGAUAGAAACAGAAAUUGAGAUGUUUUUCUUUCUUUUUUUUUUUUAAUUUCUUUAUUGGGGAAUUAAUGUUUUACAUUCAACAGUAAAAACAAUAGUUUGUACAUGCAUAACAUUCCCCAGUUCCCCAUAUAACAAUACAACCCCCACCAGGUCCUCUGUCAUCCUUCUUGGACCUGUCUUCUCCCCACUCACUCACCCCAGAGUCUUUUACUUUGGUGCGAUACGCCAAUUCCAGUUCAGGUUCUACUUUUUUUUUUCUUUCUGAUCUUGUUUUUCAACUUCUGCCUGAGAGUGAGAUCAUCCCAUAUUCAUCCUUCUGUUUCUGACUUCUUUCACUUAACGAGAUGUUUUUUUCUUUUCCCUUCCCUUCUCUUCUCCUCUCCCCCCCCAUUUUUAAAAAAUGAGGGAGUCAGGUGGUAGCACAGAAGGUUAAGUGCAGGUGGAUCCCAGUUCGAGCCCCCACUCCCCACCUGCAGGGGAGUCACUUCACAAGCGGUGAAGCAGGUCUGCAGGUGUCUAUCUUUCCCUCCCCUCUCUGUCUUCUCCUCCUCUCUCCAUUUCUCUCUGUCCUAUCCAACAACAAAGACAUCAACAACAAUAAUAACUACAACAAUAAAACAAGGGCAACAAAAGGGAAUAAAUAAAUUAUUUUUUAAAAAUGAUGGGCAAUUGGUAGUCUACCUUGUUGAAUAUACAUGUUACUGUGCACAAGGACCCAGGUUCAAGCCCCUGGUCCCCACCUGCAGGGGGAAAGCUUUGUGCUGCAGGUGCCUCUCUGUUUCUCUCUAUAUAUAUUUCUCCCCCUCUUAAUUUCUCUCUGUCCUAUCAAAUAUAAGAAAAAAAUUAAUGGGAAGGGGGCAGUGUAGUGUAGGUAGUUAAUUCAGAUUUUUAUUUCUUGGUGGUGAGAGAAAGAGAAGUCCUGGAUAAGGACUGAGGAAGAAUUCAUUCAUGGAACAGGAACUUAAUGGUGAUGAAAAAGAUAUGCCCCUGCCUCCAAGGUGAUUACACUUAUGGACACAGGCAGAAGUAUACGGUGUGGGGGAGUUAGGUGGUAGCGCAGGUGGCACAAAGCGCAAGGACCCACAUAAGGAUCCUGGUUCGAGCCCUGGCUCCCCACCUACAGGGGAGCCGCUUAACAAGUGGUGAAGUAGAUCUGCAGGUGUCUAUCUUUCUGUCCCCCUCUCUGUCUUCCCCUCCUCUUUAUAUUACUCUCUGUCCUAUCCAACAACGACAACAGCAACAACAACAACAAUAACUACAACAAUAAAACAAC